rnacentral:rRNA from 1 species
CAGCAGCCGCGGGAAUACGAAGGGGGCUAGCGUUGUUCGGAUUUACUGGGCGUAAAGGGCGCGUAGGCGGGCGAAUAAGUCAGGGGUGAAAUCCCAAGGCUCAACCUUGGAACUGCCUUUGAUACUGUUUGUCUUGAGUUCGAGAGAGGUAAGUGGAACUGCGAGUGUAGAGGUGAAAUUCGUAGAUAUUCGCAAGAACACCAGUGGCGAGGGCGGCUUACUGGCUCGAAACUGACGCUGAGGCGCGAAAGCGUGGGGAGCAAACAGGAUUAGAUACCCCAGUAGUCCCUGUCUCUUAUAC